CUUUCGGGCUUCACCGCCUAUAUUACGUAUUUUCGUGCUAUAUAUAUUAUACCUAGUAAUAGGUACUUUGUGUAAUACGUUUCUCAUCGUAUACUUUAUAAACACUUUAAAGUAUAAACUAAUAAUUUUACACAAAAAUUACCCAAUAACAGGAUACUUAAUAAAUAAACAGUGAAAUCCGUUAUAUACAUUUUGUUAUUUGUAUUUUUUAACUAACGAACUCCAAUAAUUGUCACAAUUACAUCAUAAACCCAUAUGUUUUAGUUAUUUUAAGUAUUAUUUUUUGAAACCACAUAAGACAAAUAACUUACAUUAUUACCGACAAACAAUGUAGAUUUCACAAAUUUAUGACAGAUUAUUAAACGGAUUACGAUAAUGCUAUAGGUACAACUUUUUUUUGAUGACCCGUGUUUUUGAAUAAAAGUUAUUCAUUAUUCAAUUUUAAAAGAAAAAUCUACUGUUGCGAAAUCGCUGAACACAAAUUUCUAUGAGAAUUCAUUAUUAUUAUUUUUUUCUAGCUGAAUUUGGAAAAAUUGGUAAAUAUAUUUCAUGUUAACCGUCAUCUACUAUCACCAACUAAAAAAUAAAAGCACAUACACUUCAAAUUCUAAGAAUAUGAAAUAAUAAGGGUAUUUUCAAUAAUACUCUGAAAUGUUCGCAUAGUAAUAUAAUAUAGGUAAUCGUUAUGAAUAUCCACACAAUAGACUCCAUACAUUUUCAUUAGUGGUACCAUUGAUCGUAUAAUGGUUUGUAUUUUUAAUCUAUAUCUACAAUCAGCGAUAAAAUAAGUGCGAGAAGAAAUUAAGGCAUGGGUAUAAGAAUAAAUUGUGAAAGAAUAGAUAUUAUGCUACGAUUAUCAGAUGAUAUUGCGGUAAUAAGAGACAAUGGAGAGGACUUACAGAAUAUCUUAGAUUUAAUGGACUUAACAAUGAAAAAUGAAGGUUCCUAAACUCAAAUAACACUAUAAUGGAUAGUGACACAUUAGAGCAAGUGAAUAAAUUCAAUUAUCUGGGAAGUAAGAUAACCGAGAACUGCUGUAGGUAGUAUCAGGGAGAUAAUAAGUGGAAUACAUCAGGCUGAAUAUCCAUUUCGGAGCAAGAAAAAUAUGUUUAUAUUAAGAAAUAUGUACAUAAAUGUAAGUAAAGACCUAUUAAAGGCCUAUGAUUGGAGCAUAGAAUGGAGUGGUAUUGUUGCAUGGAUGUUAGGUAUAACAGAUGAAAAUAGAGUUCUAGCGUUUGAGACAUGAUGUUACUGCAGGAUGCUGCUUGAAUAAGCUGGACAGAAAACAUAAACAAUUUGGAAGUUUAUUGAAGAGCCUGAGAAACAAGAAUCGGUCCUUAAAAACAGGAAGAGCCAAGUUAUUCGGUCACAUAAUGCGCCAAAACAGUCCACCAUCACUGGGCUAUAUUAGUCAAAUAGUAAGAGCUACAGACUGCAGAACAUAAUAUUGUGAACUAAAAAUGAAAGCGAUGACGGGAGAAGCGUCAGGAGUGGAAAAUGCCAACCAGCCUUCGGGCAGUUAGCAAAAAUAGGAUAAAAUAAUCAAUGGUGGUAGGUACCAAGAAAAACCCAAGGCAAUCCAUCACAUGAAAGAUCACUUUACAUUUUAUAAUUUUAGGUAUUAUUAAUAACCAUCGUAUAUUUUACAUCUAUUUUUUUAUAGAAAAAAUUUGUAAGUAUAUUUUAUGUUUAUUUUCCUAUAGUAAAUUUAUCCUCUUCUGGAACGACCCGAAUACAAAUCCAUAACUAACUAGAACACACAUUGUUUGUAAUAUUAGUAUAGGUUUUUGUAUUUAUUUGAAGCGAAUUCUAGAUAAAAAUUCAAACACAUGUUCUGUGGAAAGGCCAACUGAUGUAAACCUCAUUUUUAAUCUAUUGCAUAGCUUUUUUUCGCAGGCCUGGCGUGGUAACUGAAAAGAAAUUUUUCGUAACGAAAAAGCGUGACCUGUUAUUAUUACUAUUAUUAUUAUUAUCUGCGUUCGAAGGUUGUUAUCGGUAUAUUUGCAGGUAGUAGGCCGUCGAAUUAAAAAUGUAAUGGUUUAUAUCGGAGCAACUAUAGUUACACCACGGGCGUAUUCCGCAGCAUUUUCCGUCGAAGUUAAAAUGCAUCGGUUUAUAUCGGAGCAGCUAUAGGUAAAACGACGGGCGUAACACAGCGCGGCAAAAUACUCAAGACGAACGGCGUUUUCUGUCGAAGCGGGUAACGCGAGUAUUGUAUUACGCCUGUUGUGUACCUAUAGUUGCUCCGAUAUAAACCAUUACAUUUUUAAUUGGAGGGAAAACGCUGCGGAAAUCGUUGUAGCAUUCGAAACGUAGCAGAAUACUUAAAUGUAUUUAUUUAGUUAUAUGUAUAUGAUGUACGGUGUUUAUCAUUAUCAACAAAAAAAACUCAUGUUGUCAUUUUCUUUUCGGUCUUGGCGCUCAAAAAGUAUAACUUGAAUUUAUAUCAAAAAAAAAAAAUAAAUAAAUAAUUAGUAAUGAUUACAUGAUACAUAGCUACAGAAUUGAUAUGCAAUGGCUUUGCCACGGCAGUCCCUGAGUGCCUCAUGAUUUUUUUUUUUAAGUGAGGUUGUUAUUGAAUAUUAUUCUUGACACAUAAUUACACAUUCUGGUCAAAUAUUGUAACCCACAAAUGAGUACUUCUGGUAUACAAUUGUGUAACUCAAAUGACGCAACCCUCAUCAUAAACAAAAUUAUGUUAAUAAUGGCAAUUAACAUAAGCUAUAACAUCACCCACCAGAAUUGGAACAAUUCAUAAUUUAUUCCAGUCAAGUAAUGUAAGCAUCAAUGUAAGCCUCGUUAUUCAAGCCAAAUAUCACAUUUUACCAGCCAAAUAACGCAACCAAAAAAAAUAUGAAAUGUGCCAGCGUGUUUUUCGUUGUAAUCAUGGUUGAAAAAUACAACUGUGAUUGUAAUAAAAUUAAUAUAAUUUAUUACCUAUAGCACUGUUAUUGUGAUUGCGGAAAUUUAGGAGUAUUUACUGCGGGAGUAAAGAUUGAGGUUAGGAACCUUUGAGAGUCGAACGCCUAAAUUGUCGUCAGGAAAAUAAUAAUUUUAUUUGAAUAAAUCACAAAAUAAUUGUGUUGCGUGUCUUACUGCGCAAUCGUUAAUUUGAAAACAAGUAAAGGUUAGAAUUUUAUAAUAAUACAAAAUAAUAUUCACGAACAAUAAACGAUCGGAGAGAGUGACUAACUGUGUGCGAACGCCGCGAGACUGGUGGGGAGUGACGUAGUGACGCGACUACGGCAGUGAGAGAACAGUAUUUUGGGACAAUAGUCGCCACAUUAUUAACGUUACAACACUGGGCUUAUCACUCAUAAUGUUUAAUGUAUGUUUGUAACUUGUAUACUCAAAAACUACUAUUAACCGAUUUUGUGAUUAGAUAAUAUGUAAAAUUGUUCUUAGAGAUGUCUGGACCUUGUAGAGUAAUUUGAACCACUUUUGGUUCAUAAUAAGUGCUAUAUCCAAUCCAAAAGCGCAGCCUCUCUACCCUCCCAAGGUGUAUUUAAAUAUGAAAUUAAAACACCCCUCCCCCCAACAUCGAUUUAACUGUAUCAUAUUUAAUAUGAUAAAAAUAAUUAUCAAGUUU